CUCGUAGGCGGUCUGUCACGUCAGGAGUGAAAACUCGGGGCUCAACCCCGAGCCUGCUUCUGAUACGGGCAGACUGGAGGUAUGCAGGGGAGAACGGAAUUCCUGGUGUAGCGGUGAAAUGCGCAGAUAUCAGGAGGAACACCGGUGGCGAAGGCGGUUCUCUGGGCAUUACCUGACGCUGAGGAGCGAAAGUGUGGGGAGCGAACA
rnacentral:rRNA from 1 species